rnacentral:lncRNA from 1 species
ACUUAUUUUACCAAUUCGGAUAAUAUCUUAAUCUGAACGGGUAAUAUCCGAACCCGAAUGGAUAUCCGAAGAUCACCAAACAUAAGUACACUUAACUCUAUAUUUCUAGUUUAUUUAUCUCAUUUUAUUCAAAAUAUUUAUAUUAAUGAUUUUUAUUGCUCAAAAUUAGAUAAUAUAUAUAUAAUUAUGAAGAAAAUCAUUUGCUACUCACUUAAAAUACAUAUCAAGUUCUUGUUUCUUGCAUUAACAAAAGUUGCGUCUAAAAAUUUAAAAUAACAACUAAAGUCUUUCUAUUUUUAAAGUUUUAUCUCCAAACCUAUUAAUAGUUUAAUCUUUUAAAAAUUUAAAAAAAAACAGUUAAGUUAAAAUAUAUUUUAAAUACAAAAAACUUAAACAAUGAAUAAUUUAUUUAUUUUUUCUUCAAAAUUUAAAUAUCCGAACCCGACCCAAAAUAUCUGAA